rnacentral:rRNA from 1 species
GAACCUGCCUCAAAGAGGGGGACAACAGUUGGAAACGACUGCUAAUACCGCAUAAGCCCACGGCUCGGCAUCGAGCAGAGGGAAAAGGAGCAAUCCGCUUUGAGGUGGCCUCGCGUCCGAUUAGCUAGUUGGUGAGGUAACGGCCCACCAAGGCGACGAUCGGUAGCCGGACUGAGAGGUUGAACGGCCACAUUGGGACUGAGACACGGCCCAGACUCCUACGGGAGGCAGCAGUGGGGAAUAUUGCACAAUGGGGGAAACCCUGAUGCAGCGACGCCGCGUGGAGGAAGAAGGUCUUCGGAUUGUAAACUCCUGUUGUUGAGGAAGAUAAUGACGGUACUCAACAAGGAAGUGACGGCUAACUACGUGCCAGCAGCCGCGGUAAAACGUAGGUCACAAGCGUUGUCCGGAAUUACUGGGUGUAAAGGGAGCGCAGGCGGGAGAACAAGUUGGAAGUGAAAUCCAUGGGCUCAACCCAUGAACUGCUUUCAAAACUGUUUUUCUUGAGUAGUGCAGAGGUAGGCGGAAUUCCCGGUGUAGCGGUGGAAUGCGUAGAUAUCGGGAGGAACACCAGUGGCGAAGGCGGCCUACUGGGCACCAACUGACGCUGAGGCUCGAAAGUGUGGGUAGCAAACAGGAUUAGAUACCCUGGUAGUCCACACCGUAAACGAUGAUUACUAGGUG